CCGCUUUUAUGCAUAACAACUAGGCAACUCUGCUCUCUGUUGUUUUUUCAUUUUUCGCUCUUUUCUGCUGUCAGUUUUUCUGUCUCGCUAUUCCAAUGCUCACCGAAUAGCAGCGUAUGCACAACAACAAAUGACGUAGUGAUGUCAUCAGAAAUUAUUUAGUUUUUCUUUUCAUCCAAUUGUUCGUGAGUGUUAAAUUUUCUUUCGUGUGAAUUUUUCUGAAGAAGUUGUAUAGACAUUGGAUAUUGUGUGAAGCAGAUAAAAACGACGCGGCGGACAACAAUAAAAAAAUAACAAAUAAAUAUGUUCUAUUAAAAAGGUGCAAGUGAAUUUAUGUUAAAAUGAUUUCUUUAAAGAAGCAAAGCCCCAAUUCCUUGUUACACACUUUGUGAAUAUAAAAGCAGAGUGUAGCUAACAAGUAUUGGAAAUAAAAUACGCCAAAAACCAUCCACCUAAUUACAAACCGACCAAGUGAAAAGUGCAAUGUUGAACGAAGAAGUGAAAAGUAAUUUGCAACAAUGAAAAACAUAAAAUUUUUGAAUAAAUUAAAGCCAACAUG